ACCUAAAAUUUUGUUAUAGGUUAAAUCAAUUAAAUUUAUGUAAUAAGGCCAAAUAAUUGCAAAUGAGAACAUAGUAAUAGCGGUAAAGAAGAAGAAAAGUAAUUAUUAUUGAUAAUCCUUUGAAUGAUGUGCAGAGUUGGUCGCGAUGCUUAGAGCAACUAAAUCAGUAGUCAUUUCAGUAUCUUAACAGUAUGAGUAUGAAUUCGAAUUUGGUACAAACAUGGGGAAGAAAGUACUUAUAGUGUAGACCUAAUGUAAUUGCUACCUAAAAAUCACGCUUGCCCGUUAUAAGUAGUAUCGGGGGAAAAUAUGUUAAAAAAGACAUCUCAAGUAUUUGUGUAAGUAUUUGGGACACCUUUUUUGAUUAACAAACACUGAUUAAUUAAGAAGGAUGAGGGGUGGUCUGGUCAAAUUAAAAAUAAAAAAACUUUGGGGUAAAAUUUAAAAUACUAAAAAAAAUAUCUUUCUAAUUAGACACGAUUUUUCAACUUUUCUCUUUCUUCUCUUUUCAAAACCACACACGAUUACCCCCAAACUUUUCUAACUUUUCUCUCAAAUUCAAUCUUCAAACUCAAGAGUACUAUAGGGCUUCAAAAAUCGGCUCCAUUCCGUUCAAAUUUUCUUUGAAGUCGAGAUUCCAUCAUCAAGGGACGUGUGUCAAAGACAUGUGAAAGAGAAAGAGAUAAAUCUCCUUCCAAAAGAUCUAGCAAAAGAAUUAGGACAUCUCAGGAGGAUGAACUACAAAAAUCAAUUGUAGCUGAAGUGGAAGCCAAACAUCUUCAGGUAGUAAAAGGAGGGAAUGUUGGAGAAGAAGAAAAAGAGAACGAAAAUGAAGAGGAAAUUGAGAAAGAAAAUAAAGAGAAAACAGAGAAUGUACUAGGAGGGAAUGCUAGAUAAGCGGAAACAGAGAAAGAAAAAGAAGAGGAAACAGAAAAGGAACAAGAAGAGGAAACAAGGAAAGUAAGAGAAGAAAAGACAAUUGUUGAUGAAAAAGAAUCAAAAAAGGAGACAACAAUUGAUGAAAGAGAAGAGCAGGCAAAUAUUGAUGAUGGGGCAUCAGUAGCAAAUACUGAAGAAGAAGCUUCAAGAGAAGAAGAAGAAGAGGCAGUGGAAGAAAGAAGAAAAAAGAGAAAGAAUGAUAAUGCACCUUCUCAAUUUGUUUAGGUAAGCUUAAUAUGUUUCAAACAUCUCUCUGGAUAUUUAAAAUUUCUGUCUAGAUGUUUGAAAUAUUUUCUAGGAUGUUUCACUAAAUACAACUGUAAAAAGAUAUUUUUAAUUAUUAAAUUAAUUAUUCGUGUGCA